AGUGAACGCUGGCGGUAGGCCUAACACAUGCAAGUCGAACGGCAGCACAGUAAGAGCUUGCUCUUACGGGUUGCGAGUGGCGGACGGGUGAGGAAUACAUCGGAAUCUACUUUUUCGUGGGGGAUAACGUAGGGAAACUUACGCUAAUACCGCAUACGACCUACGGGUUAAAGCAGGGGAUCUUUGUACCUUGCGCGAUUGAAUGAGCCGAUGUCGGAUUAGCUAGUUGGCGGGGUAAAGGCCCACCAAGGCGACGAUCCGUAGCUGGUCUGAGAGGAUGAUCAGCCACACUGGAACUGAGACACGGUCCAGACUCCUACGGGAGGCAGCAGUGGGGAAUAUUGGACAAUGGGCGCAAGCCUGAUCCAGCCAUACCGCGUGGGUGAAGAAGGCCUUCGGGUUGUAAAGCCCUUUUGUUGGGAAAGAAAAGCAGCAGGUUAAUACCCCGCUGUUCUGACGGUACCCAAAGAAUAAGCACCGGCUAACUUCGUG
rnacentral:rRNA from 1 species